UACGUAGGGUGCGAGCGUUGUCCGGAAUUACUGGGCGUAAAGGGCGCGUAGGCGGCCUGCUAAGUCGAACGUGAAAUCCCCAAGCUUAACUUGGGAACUGCGUCUGAUACUGGGUGGCUUGAGUUCGGGAGAGGAAUGUGGAAUUCCAGGUGUAGCGGUGAAAUGCGUAGAUAUCUGGAGGAACACCUGUGGCGAAGGCGGCUUCCUGGACCAACACUGACACUGAGGAGCGAAAGCCAGGGGAGCAAACGGG
rnacentral:rRNA from 1 species